rnacentral:rRNA from 1 species
GAUGAACGCUAGCUACAGGCUUAACACAUGCAAGUCGAGGGGCAUCAGGAAGAAAGCUUGCUUUCUUUGCUGGCGACCGGCGCACGGGUGAGUAACACGUAUCCAACCUGCCCUUUACUCGGGGAUAGCCUUUCGAAAGAAAGAUUAAUACCCGAUAGCAUAAUGAUUCCGCAUGGUUUCAUUAUUAAAGGAUUCCGGUAAAGGAUGGGGAUGCGUUCCAUUAGGUUGUUGGUGAGGUAACGGCUCACCAAGCCUUCGAUGGAUAGGGGUUCUGAGAGGAAGGUCCCCCACAUUGGAACUGAGACACGGUCCAAACUCCUACGGGAGGCAGCAGUGAGGAAUAUUGGUCAAUGGGCGGUAGCCUGAACCAGUCAAGUAGCGUGAAGGAUGAAGGCUCUAUGGGUCGUAAACUUCUUUUAUAUAAGAAUAAAGUGCAGUAUGUAUACUGUUUUGUAUGUAUUAUAUGAAUAAGGAUCGGCUAACUCCGUGCCAGCAGCCGCGGUAAUACGGAGGAUCCGAGCGUUAUCCGGAUUUAUUGGGUUUAAAGGGAGCGUAGGUGGACUGGUAAGUCAGUUGUGAAAGUUUGCGGCUCAACCGUAAAAUUGCAGUUGAUACUGUCAGUCUUGAGUACAGUAGAGGUGGGCGGAAUUCGUGGUGUAGCGGUGAAAUGCUUAGAUAUCACGAAGAACUCCGAUUGCGAAGGCAGCUCACUGGACUGCAACUGACACUGAUGCUCGAAAGUGUGGGUAUCAAACAGG